ACGGCUCAGUAACACGUGGACAACCUGCCCUUAGGACGGGGAUAAACCCGGGAAACUGGGUAUAAUACCCGAUAGGUCUCGAUUGCUGGAAUGCAUCGAGAUUUAAAGCUCCGGCGCCUAAGGAUGGGUCUGCGGCCUAUCAGGUAGUAGUGGGUGUAGCGUACCUACUAGCCUACGACGGGUACGGGUUGUGAGAGCAAGAGCCCGGAGAUGGAUUCUGAGACACGAAUCCAGGCCCUACGGGGUGCAGCAGGCGCGAAAACUUUACAAUGCUGGCAACAGCGAUAAGGGAACCUCGAGUGCCAGGUUACAAAUCUGGCUGUCGAGAUGCCUAAAAAGCAUUUCAUAGCAAGGGCCGGGCAAGACCGGUGCCAGCCGCCGCGGUAACACCGGCGGCUCGAGUGGUAACCGUUAUUAUUGGGUCUAAAGGGUCUGUAGCCGGCCGGAUAAGUCUCUUGAGAAAUCUGGCAGCUUAACUGUCAGGCUUUCAGGAGAUACUGUCUGGCUCGAGGCCGGGAGAGGUGAGAGGUACUUCAGGGGUAGGGGUGAAAUCUUGUAAUCCUUGAAGGACCACCAGUGGCGAAGGCGUCUCACCAGAACGGACCUGACGGCAAGGGACGAAAACUAGGGGCACGAACCGGAUUAGAUACCCGGGUAGUCCUAGCCGUAAACGAUACUCGCUAGGUGUCGGCCACGGUGCGACCGUUGUCGGUGCCGUAGGGAAGCCGUGAAGCGAGCCACCUGGGGAAGUACGGCCGCAAGGCUGAAACUUAAAAGGAAUUGGCGGGGGAGCACA
rnacentral:rRNA from 1 species